GUGUGUUGCAGUAUUAUAUUAAUUAUAGUUUAUAUAUAAAGGAUCAGAAUCUGAGAAGCCAAUGCCAUCCGGGCAUCAAGCUCUGCAGAGAGCAGAUUUAGCUGGAACAAGUCCCGGUGUUACAGCGUCCAGCUUUUUUGUGAAUGACAAGCUACCUCUAAGUAUAUAAUUGGACAUUGCCAAAGAACACCUACAUAGCACUUUUAAUGGAAUCCCUCACCAAUAUUGAAUCCCCCCCUAUCAACUCCCACACCCAGGACAAAACUGAUCACCACUUGUUCAGUGCUCGAUGUAGAAUGGGAAUGGACUGCUGUCCGGCAUUAUGUACUGCAUUAUUUCCUACUGUCUUAUUGUGGACCUGAUGAAGAGAGGAAUCCCCUCUUGAAACACAUUGUCCAGCCAAGCCAGCUAUCUGGGUAAACUAAUUUGCCUCUGUAUGAUAUAUACUCUGGUAAAUAAAAGUUUUUCACAGUAAACUGCCGGCGUCAACUUCUUCAACACCCCGGUGAAGCGCUGAUCCCACAAGUCGGAAUUUUGGGAUCACCCCUGCCAGGGUGUCCUGCAACAUGCCUCCAGCUACGUUCCUGACUGCUGCCAGCGGUACCGACAAUCGGCAGGUCCUGGACCGUACCGCAACCUAUCUAAAGCAAUACUCAGAGUUGUGCCUGCCAUUUGCACAACAUUAUAAGGUGAGCGGAAAUUCUGCUUUUUUACACACCUACCAUCUAAAACUUACUGUCAGUGCGCCGUAUUCUCUGUCUAGUUUCACCCUCAUAUUCCUACUGGGUUAUUUGUUAUAGUGAGGUUUAAUACUGCUAGAAGUUUUUUUCUAUUUUAACAUGAAAAUGUGACAUCCUUUUGCAUCUUUGAAUGAGCUUGCUGUUUCUCUUUCCAUUUGCCUUUGUUACCACUCCCUGCUUUUGGAACAUGUCUUACAUUUCACUGAUGUCAA